CGCAGGCGGAUUGUUAAGUAGGACGUGAAAUCUCCUGGCCCAACUGGGAGGGGUCGCCCUAAACUGGCAGUCUUGAGGACGGCAGAGGUUGGUGGAAUUCCUGGUGUAGUGGUGAAAUGCGUAGAGAUCAGGAGGGACACCGGUGGCGAAGGCGGCCAACUGGGCCGUCUCUGACGCUGAGGCGCGAAAGCUCGGGGAGCGAACGGGAUUAGAUACCCCGGUAGUCCGAGCCCUAAACGAUGUGCACUAGGUGUUCGUGGUAUCGACCCCACGGGUGCCGGAGCUAACGCGAUAAGUGCACCGCCUGGGGAGUACGGCCGCAAGGUUAAA
rnacentral:rRNA from 1 species